rnacentral:rRNA from 1 species
ACAUCGAAAGCUGCUUUUGAUGGGCGUCGACCGGCGCACGGGUGAGUAACGCGGUAUCCAACCUGCCCACCACUUGGGGAUAACCUUGCGAAAGUAAGACUAAUACCCAAUGAUAUCCCACGAAGGCAUCCGAAUGGGGACUAAAGAUUUAUCGGUCGAUGGAUGGGGAUGCGUCCGAUUAGCUGGUUGGCGGGUAACGGCCCACCAAGGCGACGAUCGGUAGGGGUUCUGAGAGGAAGGUCCCCACAUUGGAACUGAGACACGGUCCAAACUCCUACGGGAGGCAGCAGUGAGGAAUAUUGGUCAAUGGGCGGAAGCCUGAACCAGCCAAGUAGCGUGCAGGACGACGGCCCUAUGGGUUGUAAACUGCUUUUAUGCGGGGAUAAAGUGAGUCUCGUGAGACUUUUUGCAUGUACCUUAUGAAUAAGGACCGGCUAAUUCCGUG